rfam:Felis catus isolate Cinnamon breed Abyssinian chromosome C1, whole genome shotgun sequence.
GCCUGGGUGGCUCAGUUGGUUGAGCGUUUGACUUCACCUCAGGUCAUGAUCUCACGGUUAGUGAGUUUGAGUCCCACAUCAGGCU